rnacentral:rRNA from 1 species
UACAGAAGGUGCAAACGUUGUUCGGAUUUACUGGGCGUAAAGGGCGCGUAGGCGGCCUGCUAAGUCGAACGUGAAAUCCCCGGGCUCAACCCGGGAACUGCGUCCGAUACUGGCAGGCUUGAAUCCGGGAGAGGGAUGUGGAAUUCCAGGUGUAGCGGUGAAAUGCGUAGAUAUCUGGAGGAACACCGGUGGCGAAGGCGACAUCCUGGACCGGUAUUGACGCUGAGGCGCGAAAGCCAGGGGAGCAAACGGG